AGGUAGAAGUACUAGUGCUCGACGCUGCACUAGUAUUCGACAUGGGCACUUUAUGUCAAAGUGACAAGGAUUAAAUUUGAAUACAGAAAAAUCUUCGUUGUUCAAAUUUAACCUAUAUUACUUUGACAUAAAGUGCCCAUGUCGAAUACUAGUGCAGCGUCAAGCACUAGUACUUCUACCUUAUUUCUUUUACAAUAAUUUAAAUUUCAGCUGCAAACCAGAUUCAGAUCAGAUCUUCACAUGCCAGAGUACCUCUGUCAACAUCAAACAGUGAAAAUGCACAAACUUCAGCUACUGCAUCUACGAGUACAGGCCAAGCUUGUCUGAAAUCUGGAAUAAGCAUUCGACUGGAUAAAGCGGCAAUACCAGCUAAACGCCCCCGCUUUGCUGACAAACAACCUGGCGGAUCUAUAGGGAUACUCUAGUUCAGCGGUCGGCAACAAGCGGCCCUCUCACUCGCGGCCCGCGAGCCCCCCUGGCUAUUUUGUAUGUAAUAUUGUCAAACAACAAUGUCUGAUUAAAGUCACACAUAUUAACAAAAGUGCGGCCCGCGUCAACUUCCUUAACUACUAUGUGGCCCUUGGCUGCUAAAAGGUUGCCGACCGCUGCUCUAGUUCUUGCUUCUGAUAAUCGAAAAACGCAGCGAGCAAAUCAAAAGACUAGAUUACAAUACAACGAAGAAAGAAUUGCUGAAGAAGCUCAUGAAAGUGAAAUCGAGUUUACUUUAUUAAGAGUCUGCCUAAUAGGUAGCUUAGGACUUUAACCAGAUAAAUUGUUUUUAAAUCCAUCUUUGAAACAUGGUAUCAAAGAGAAUUUUAAAUAGAGAGUUACUGUCAUGGUAAAUUAUGUAGCUACAGUACCUACAUUUACUGCCAUCUUUCGACAGAAGAUUAAACCUGUUAGAACGCCAUUUGACUUUGAUCAUUAUUCUUUCACUGAUAUCACAGAAUAAGUAAUAGUAUUUGAUAUGUGUAAACUUGUUAAAUAUUAAUAUUAACACCAUCUACUCGAGAGUAGGCCAAAGGUAUGGUGUAAUCUUUUCGAGCGAUGGCGCCAUAACCUUUGGCCUACAGUCGAGUAGAUGGCGUUAAUUUCAAUAUUUAACAAAUUUACACAUAUCAGUGAAAUAAUAAAAGGGCUCAUUUAGUCGAUGCGACAACUCGCAUGCCAGUUCCAUUACAUUGCGGUUUUCGAUCGGGCGGUUGAAUUGGACUUAACCAACAGUCCGCAAUGUAGCUAAAAUCGCAUAUACGCUUCGCGCGCCGUCUUAAUCAGCCUUAUGGAUCAAAGUCAAAUGGCGUUCUAACAGUUUUAAUUUUCUGUCGAAAGAUAUUGGCAGUAAAUUUACAGUGGCUACAUAAUUUACUUUGACAAUCCGCC